rfam:TPA: Bos taurus chromosome 3, whole genome shotgun sequence.
UAGCUGAGUUAGUAAAGAAUCUGCCUGCAAUGCAGGAGACCUAGGUUUGAUUCCUGG